CCUACGGGGGGCUGCAGUGGGGAGUAUUGGACAAUGGGGGGAACCCUGAUCCAGCCAUGCCGCGUGUGUGAAGAAGGCCCUCGGGUUGUAAAGCACUUUCAGUGAGGAAGAACGCCUGGUGGUUAAUACCCAUCAGGAAAGACAUCACUCACAGAAGAAGCACCGGCUAACUCCGUGCCAGCAGCCGCGGUAAUACGGAGGGUGCGAGCGUUAAUCGGAAUUACUGGGCGUAAAGCGCGCGUAGGUGGCUUGAUAAGCCGGUUGUGAAAGCCCCGGGCUCAACCUGGGAACGGCAUCCGGAACUGUCAAGCUAGAGUGCAGGAGAGGAAGGUAGAAUUCCCGGUGUAGCGGUGAAAUGCGUAGAGAUCGGGAGGAAUACCAGUGGCGAAGGCGGCCUUCUGGACUGACACUGACACUGAGGUGCGAAAGCGUGGGUAGCAAACAGGAUUAGAUACCCCAGUAGUC
rnacentral:rRNA from 1 species